rnacentral:tRNA from 1 species
UCUGGGUUAGCUUAGCGGUAGAGUAGGGGCCUGUGGAGCCCUUGACGCGGGUUCGAGUCCCGCACCCGGAC